rnacentral:rRNA from 1 species
UUAAAUUGAAGAGUUUGAUCAUGGCUCAGAUUGAACGCUGGCGGCAGGCCUAACACAUGCAAGUCGAACGGUAACAGGAAGCAGCUUGCUGCUUCGCUGACGAGUGGCGGACGGGUGAGUAAUGUCUGGGAAACUGCCUGAUGGAGGGGGAUAACUACUGGAAACGGUGGCUAAUACCGCAUAACGUCGCAAGACCAAAGAGGGGGACCUUCGGGCCUCUUGCCAUCAGAUGUGCCCAGAUGGGAUUAGCUUGUUGGUGAGGUAACGGCUCACCAAGGCGACGAUCCCUAGCUGGUCUGAGAGGAUGACCAGCCACACUGGAACUGAGACACGGYCCAGACUCCUACGGGAGGCAGCAGUGGGGAAUAUUGCACAAUGGGCGCAAGCCUGAUGCAGCCAUGCCGCGUGUAUGAAGAAGGCCUUCGGGUUGUAAAGUACUUUCAGCGGGGAGGAAGGUGUUGUGGUUAAUAACCGCAGCAAUUGACGUUACCCGCAGAAGAAGCACCGGCUAACUCCGUGCCAGCAGCCGCGGUAAUACGGAGGGUGCAAGCGUUAAUCGGAAUUACUGGGCGUAAAGCGCACGCAGGCGGUCUGUCAAGUCGGAUGUGAAAUCCCCGGGCUCAACCUGGGAACUGCAUUCGAAACUGGCAGGCUUGAGUCUUGUAGAGGGGGGUAGAAUUCCAGGUGUAGCGGUGAAAUGCGUAGAGAUCUGGAGGAAUACCGGUGGCGAAGGCGGCCCCCUGGACAAAGACUGACGCUCAGGUGCGAAAGCGUGGGGAGCAAACAGGAUUAGAUACCCUGGUAGUCCACGCCGUAAACGAUGUCUACUUGGAGGUUGUGCCCUUGAGGCGUGGCUUCCGGAGCUAACGCGUUAAGUAGACCGCCUGGGGAGUACGGCCGCAAGGUUAAAACUCAAAUGAAUUGACGGGGGCCCGCACAAGCGGUGGAGCAUGUGGUUUAAUUCGAUGCAACGCGAAGAACCUUACCUGGUCUUGACAUCCACAGAAGAAUCCAGAGAUGGAUUUGUGCCUUCGGGAACUGUGAGACAGGUGCUGCAUGGCUGUCGUCAGCUCGUGUUGUGAAAUGUUGGGUUAAGUCCCGCAACGAGCGCAACCCUUAUCCUUUGUUGCCAGCGGUUAGGCCGGGAACUCAAAGGAGACUGCCAGUGAUAAACUGGAGGAAGGUGGGGAUGACGUCAAGUCAUCAUGGCCCUUACGACCAGGGCUACACACGUGCUACAAUGGCGCAUACAAAGAGAAGCGACCUCGCGAGAGCAAGCGGACCUCAUAAAGUGCGUCGUAGUCCGGAUUGGAGUCUGCAACUCGACUCCAUGAAGUCGGAAUCGCUAGUAAUCGUGGAUCAGAAUGCCACGGUGAAUACGUUCCCGGGCCUUGUACACACCGCCCGUCACACCAUGGGAGUGGGUUGCAAAAGAAGUAGGUAGCUUAACCUUCGGGAGGGCGCUUACCACUUUGUGAUUCAUGACUGGGGUGAAGUCGUAACAAGGUAACCGUAGGGGAACCUGCGGUUGGAUCACCUCCUUACCUUAAAGAAGC